rnacentral:misc_RNA from 1 species
AACGCAUAUUGCGCCUUCUGGUAUUCCGGGAGGCACGUCUGUUUGAGCGUCAGCGAAACCCUUCCGGCACCCCGGUUUCGCAGCUGGGGGAUCCCGGGCUUGCUGGCGCAGGGGACCCUGGCCGCCACGUUUUCGGCGUGGGUUAGGCCUUCCCCCGCUUAAAACCGUGGAAGAUAGCGGGGCACGGCACCGGGUAGCGAACGACUCGUAGGACCUACCGUCGUCUUAUGCGCGCCUGCCCCGCCUCCACCGACGGAAGGCUGGCUCCGGCCGCCUUCUUGAACCUUUGACCUCAAAUCAGACGAGGAUACCCGCUGAACUUAA